GUGUCAGCCGCCGCGGUAAUACGGGGGGUGCGAGCGUUGUCCGGAAUCACUGGGCGUAAAGGGCGCGUAGGUGGUUUGAUAAGGGUGUGGUGAAAGCCCGGGGCUCAACCCCGGGUCUGCCGUGCCGACUGUUGAACUCGAGGGCUGUAGAGGCAGACGGAAUUCCGGGUGUAGCGGUGGAAUGCGUAGAGAUCCGGAGGAAGACCGGUGGCGAAGGCGGUCUGCUGGGCAGUUUCUGACACUGAUGCGCGACAGCGUGGGGAGCAAACAGGAUUAGAUACCCUGGUAGUCCACGCCGUAAACGAUGGGUACUAGGUGCCUGGGGGAGCGACCCUCUGGGUGCCGGCGCUAACGCAGGAAGUACCCCGCCUGGGGAGUACGACCGCAAGGUUGAA
rnacentral:rRNA from 1 species